UGAUUGAGUUAUGAGAUAAUCCAAUCAUAGGAGUUAUGAGAUAAUCCAAUCACAAGGAUGAUUAAAUCCUAAUUUGAUUAGGAUUUGAAUCAAUUAAUUUCCUAAUUAGAUUAAGAUUUAAUUGGCUUCCUAGUUGGACUAGAAUUUCAUUCUCUUUGGGCUCAAUCAUAUUCUAAUUAGAUUAGGAUUUGAUUAGGAUUUAAAUCAGCCACCUAAAGAGUCCAAAUACACUAGGACUCUCACUCUCCC
rnacentral:lncRNA from 1 species